CAGUCGCCACGGUAACACAGAGGGUGCGAGCGUUAAUCGGAUUUACUGGGCGUAAAGCGUGCGUAGGCGGCUUUUUAAGUCGGAUGUGAAAUCCCUGAGCUUAACUUAGGAAUUGCAUUCGAUACUGGGAAGCUUGAGUAUGGGAGAGGAUGGUAGAAUUCCAGGUGUAGCGGUGAAAUGCGUAGAGAUCUGGAGGAAUACCGAUGGCGAAGGCAGCCAUCUGGCCUAAUACUGACGCUGAGGUACGAAAGCAUGGGGAGCAAACAGGAUUAGAUACCCGUGUAGUCCCUGUCUCUUAUAU
rnacentral:rRNA from 1 species